CUUUCGCCCGCCGGCGACCGGCGUACGGGUGAGUAACGCGUAUCCAACCUGCCCUUUACUAUGGGACAGCCCGUCGAAAGGCGGAUUAAUACCGUAUGUUGUCAUGUUGAUGCAUAUUUUCAUGACCAAAGGCUUCGGCCGGUAAAGGAUGGGGAUGCGUCUGAUUAGCUUGCCGGCGGGGUAACGGCCCACCGGGGCGACGAUCAGUAGGGGUUCUGAGAGGAAGGUCCCCCACAUUGGAACUGAGACACGGUCCAAACUCCUACGGGAGGCAGCAG
rnacentral:rRNA from 1 species